CUGGUACUGUAAGGCUUAAUAGGGAAGACGGUGUGAUUCCGUCACGGUUGCGCCACUGUGUACGGGGAGUUGGCCAACAUUAUAACCACUGCUAGAGAUAUCUAGCGGGAAGGUGUAGGACCAGCUAUGAUCCGUGAGUCAGGAGACCUGCCCGGGUGAA
rnacentral:ncRNA from 1 species